UAAGACUAUUACACACGGACUUAGUAAAAACCCAGAUUUUGUUGUUGUACAGUUAAAGAUGAGCAAUGGCUAUGUUUCCGAGGCAGCAGGUGUCACAUUUAAUUCACAAACUUUUACUCAUGAAACUAUCUGUGGGACAGUUUUUGCAUUCAAUGACCAAGAAAUCCGUCUUUGGUCGAUAUCUGGAAAUUUUGUGGCUUGUGUUCAUGAUGGCUGGGGAACAGAGA